GAUCCUGGCUCAGAUUGAACGCUGGCGGCAGGCCUAACACAUGCAAGUCGAACGGUAACAGGAAGAAGCUUGCUUCUUUGCUGACGAGUGGCGGACGGGUGAGUAAUGUCUGGGAAACUGCCUGAUGGAGGGGGAUAACGUACUGGAAACGGUAGCUAAUACCGCAUAACGUCGCAAGACCAAAGAGGGGGACCUUCGGCCUCUUGCAUCGGAUGUGCCCAGAUGGGAUUAGCUAGUAGGUGGGGUAACGG
rnacentral:rRNA from 1 species